UACGUAGGGGGCAAGCGUUGUCCGGAUUUAUUGGGCGUAAAGAGCGUGUAGGCGGCUAUACAGGUCCGUUGUGAAAACUCGAGGCUCAACCUCGAGACGUCGAUGGAAACCGUAUGGCUAGAGUCCGGAAGAGGAGAGUGGGAAUUCCUGGUGUAGCGGUGAAAUGCGCAGAUAUCAGGAAGAACACCCGUGGCGAAGGCGGCUCUCUGGGACGUGACUGACGCUGAGACGCGAAAGCGUGGGGAGCGAACAGG
rnacentral:rRNA from 1 species